ACAGAGGGGGCAAGCGUUAUUCGGAAUUAUUGGGCGUAAAGGGCGCGUAGGCGGCCAUUCAAGUGACGGGUGAAAGCCCUCGGCUUAACCGAGGAACUGCCUGUCAGACUGGAUGGCUUGAGACCGGGAGAGGUGAGUGGAAUUCCCAGUGUAGCGGUGAAAUGCGUAGAUAUUGGGAGGAACACCAGUGGCGAAGGCGGCUCACUGGACCGGUAUUGACGCUGAGGCGCGAAAGCCAGGGGAGCAAACGGGA
rnacentral:rRNA from 1 species